GCGGAGGAAAAGAAACCAACAGGGAUUGCCUUAGUAACGGCGAGUGAAGCGGCAAAAGCUCAAAUUUGAAAUCUGACACCUCUGGUGUUCGAGUUGUAAUUUGGAGAGGCAUCUUCUGGAGGGGCCCAGCCUAUGUGCCUUGGAACAGGACGUCAUAGAGGGUGAGAAUCCCGUACUUGGCUGGAUGUUCCCUCCUGUAUGUAGUGUCUUCUACGAGUCGAGUUGUUUGGGAAUGCAGCUCAAAAUGGGUGGUAAAUUUCAUCUAAAGCUAAAUAUUGGCGAGAGACCGAUAGCGCACAAGUAGAGUGAUCGAAAGAUGAAAAGCACUUUGAAAAUAGAGUCAAACAGUACGUGAAAUUGUUGAAAGGGAAGCGCUUAGGACCAGACCUGGGGAAUAGCAAACAAUCGCCCACCGGGGCGGUGCACUUGUUAGCUCCUCGGGCCAGCAUGGGUUGGGACGGUGGGAUAAAGACUCAGGAAAUGUGACUCCUUCGUGGAGUGUUAUAGUCCCGGGUGGCAUGCCAUCAGUCCCGACUG
rnacentral:rRNA from 1 species